rnacentral:pre_miRNA from 1 species
CAACUCUCAUCCUACAUCGUUGGAUCGAGAAAUGGACAUCCAAGAUUCGUUCAUGUCACCAUAAGUUAAAAUUUAACUCGCAGAUUCACUCAUGAGUUAAAAUUUACUGGGAGUUAUGAUGACCUGGACGAAUCUCGGACGUUAAUUUCUCGAUCCAACGGUGUAGGAUGAGAGUUG